rnacentral:rRNA from 1 species
GAUGAACGCUGGCGGCGUGCCUAAUACAUGCAAGUCGAGCGAACGGACGAUAAGCUUGCUUCUCUGAUGUUAGCGGCGGACGGGUGAGUAACACGUGGAUAACCUACCUAUAAGACUGGGAUAACUUCGGGAAACCGGAGCUAAUACCGGAUCAUAUUUUGAACCGCAUGGUUCAAAAGUGAAAGACGGUCUUGCUGUCACUUUUAGAUGGAUCCGCGCUGCAUUAGCUAGUUGGUAAGGUAACGGCUUACCAAGGCAACGAUGCAUAGCCGACCUGAGAGGGUGAUCGGCCACACUGGAACUGAGACACGGUCCAGACUCCUACGGGAGGCAGCAGUAGGGAAUCUUCCGCAAUGGGCGAAAGCCUGACGGAGCAACGCCGCGUGAGUGAUGAAGGUCUUCGGAUCGUAAAACUCUGUUAUUAGGGAAGAACAUAUGUGUAAGUAACUGUGCACAUCUUGACGGUACCUAAUCAGAAAGCCACGGCUAACUACGUG